UACGGAGGGGGCUAGCGUUGUUCGGAAUUACUGGGCGUAAAGCGCACGUAGGCGGCUUUGUAAGUUAGAGGUGAAAGCCCAGGGCUUAACCCUGGAAUUGCCUUUAAGACUGCAUCGCUAGAAUUGUGGAGAGGUAAGUGGAAUUCCGAGUGUAGAGGUGAAAUUCGUAGAUAUUGGGAAGAACGCCGGUGGCGAAGGCGGCGAGCUGGUCCGUAUCUGACGCUGAGGCGCGACAGCGUGGGGAGCAAACAGG
rnacentral:rRNA from 1 species